AUACAUUUAAGGAGGGCGGAGGGUGACUCAAUUCGUGACAGCGUCUUUACUCUGCUUAUGCGUAUUUACACAUAUAUUGGCACUGGCCCGCCGCUGCCUUUGUACUUGAGCAACCAAAAUAAAAAAAGAAAAAAAGAAAAAAAAAGAAAGAAAGAGAAAUAGAAUAGAAAUGGACUGAGGAGGAGGAGGCUGGGAAAUGAUGUGGAGUUGGAAGCAGAGAAAUAGAAGACGACGAGGAAAUCCAUGCCUUUGCCUUUGCCUUUGCUUAUAAUACUCAGUCUCUGCCUGGCUGCGACAGUAACUUCCUCCUAGUUUAAUUAUCUUAGUGUGAAGGAACAAGGCAGAGAGUCGAGACGGCCUCAACUUGAGCGGAAAAAAGGAGCCUCCAAGCCAAGGACCAAGCAACGUUGUUCAUUUCCUUCCGCAAUGUACCUCAUUCUGUACGGAUUGAAUUCUUCGAGAUCCGGCCUGAACAAGAUGAAACGCCCAUCAGCAUCAGCAUCCUCUUAAUCAGCGCAAGAUUUGAUUUUUUUUCUCCAAGGGCGCAAGAUUUGAGUUGAAUGUGUGGAGUGGAGAGUUGGUACUGCUAUAUUUAUUUACAGAAAAGAUAAACCUUGAAAGAAUUGCUAGGGUUUCUCUUCUUUCUUUGCCCAUGACUACUAAACGCGCUUACAAACUACAGGAAUUCGUAGCACAUUCUUCAGCUGUGAAUUGCCUUAAGAUUGGGAGAAAAUCUUCCAGAGUUCUUGUCACUGGCGGAGAAGAUCACAAGGUCAAUCUCUGGGCCAUUGGGAAACCCAAUGCCAUACUGAGUUUGUCUGGACACACCAGUGGAAUUGAUUCGGUAAGCUUUGAUUCUUCAGAGGUCUUAGUAGCUGCAGGAGCUGCAAGUGGCACAAUUAAGCUUUGGGAUUUAGAAGAGGCAAAGAUUGUUCGCACACUUACUGGUCACAGAUCCAAUUGUAUAUCUGUGGACUUCCAUCCUUUUGGGGAGUUCUUUGCAUCUGGCUCGCUGGACACAAAUCUCAAAAUAUGGGAUAUCAGGAAGAAGGGGUGUAUUCACACAUACAAAGGCCAUACUCGAGGAGUCAACGCUAUCAGAUUUACACCGGAUGGCCGUUGGGUUGUUUCUGGUGGAGAGGACAACACGGUGAAGUUGUGGGAUCUGACUGCUGGUAAGCUGCUGCAUGAUUUCAAGUGUCAUGAGGGCCAGAUUCAGUGCAUAGAUUUUCAUCCCCACGAGUUUCUGCUAGCUACAGGUUCAGCUGAUAGGACAGUCAAAUUUUGGGACCUCGAAACCUUUGAGUUAAUUGGCUCAUCUGGACCUGAGACAACUGGAGUGCGUUCUUUGACUUUUAGUCCUGAUGGGAGAGCCCUACUCUGUGGAUUGCAUGAAAGUUUGAAGGUUUUCUCGUGGGAGCCAAUAAGAUGCCAUGAUGCCGUGGAUGUUGGAUGGUCUCGAUUGUCAGAUCUUAAUGUUCAUGAGGGAAAGCUUCUUGGAUGCUCAUACAAUCAGAGUUGUGUUGGAGUGUGGGUUGUAGACAUCUCGCGCAUAGAACCGUAUGCAAUUGGUAAUGCUAGCAGAUUGAAUGGGCACACAGAAUCUAAACCGUUGUCUGGCGGGAAUCUGUCAUUACUCAAUGAGAAUGCUGCUAAAAGUUUGGGUCGGCUAUCUGUUUCCCAAUGUUCAGAUUCUUUAGUGAAGGAAACAAAAUCUCUUGGAAGGUUAUCAGUUUCUCAAAAUUCAGAUCCCACUAAGGAGCCAAAAGUUAUUGCAUCCACAGGAAAUGUUCCUGGUACUCCUCAAAGGAUCAAUUUGAACUCCAGUCCAAAAACUAUUGCGGCUAGUUCAGCAGCAGUUCCUAGUGCAACAACCCUGAAGAGGAGUUCUACUAAGAUCAAUUCAACAGCCAAUCUUCCAACUUUUAACAAGUCUGAUGUCAUACCUGUAAUUGUACCGAGAACUAGUAUAAGAUCAGAGUUGCCAGCUGAGUCCAGAAAAGAGGCCGGUGGUUCUGGGAGAACACUGGCAUUUUCUUUGCAGUCAAAGGCAACUGAUUUCCGGAAGUUGUCCAAUAGCAGAGAAGAAGUGGAUAAGCCAACUGUCUCUUCAGUGUCUGAUUCCACUGCUUCUAAGGCUACUGAGUUAAGCAGUGCUGCAGAUAAGAAUGGUUUCUCAACAGUUAUAAGUUCAACCCAGGGAAUACAUACUGCUGAAAGGAACACAAAGGAUGACAGAUAUUUUGGACCUGGGAAGCAUGAGACAAGUUCAAUGAUGGAGGCAACUGCGAGCCACCAGCAUGAAAGUUAUGAAACUCGAGGGCACAAGGUGAGCAGAGAUGCAUACUCUGCUGAAGGUCAAAGAGGAGGAAGAAUGCGCUCACUUGCUGUUAAUUGGGAGAAAAGAGAUAGAUAUUCUAACUACGAGGGACCUACACCCAAUAGUACCCUGGGAACAGCAUCUGCGGCGAACAUUCCCCCUUUGAAUGCGUUUAAGCAGCGAGGUUAUCCUACAUCUGCUGAAAAAGAAUUGGUGUCUGCUAGUGAUGAGGAUGCUAUUGCAGAUCUCAUGGAAAAACAUGACCAAUUUGUUGGCUCCAUGCAAUCUCGUUCAACCAAAUUACAGGUAGUCUAUAGAUAUUGGGAAAGGGAUGAUGUUAAGGGGGUCAUUGGUGCAAUGGAGAAGAUGGCUGAUCAUGCUGUCAUUGCGGAUGUAGUUAGCAUUAUGACAGAAAAAAUUGACAUUGUCACACUGGAUAUAUGCACUUGUCUUCUGCCACUCCUCAAUGGCCUUCUAGAAAGUAACAUGGAUAGGCAUUUAGGCAUUUCUUUGGAAAUGCUGCUCAAGCUGGUUAGAGUAUUUGGUUCUGUGAUCUAUUCAACAUUGUCCGCAUCAUCAUCUGUUGGUGUUGAUAUUGAAGCCGAGCAAAGGCUGGAGCGUUGCAACAACUGUUUUAUGGAGCUUGAAAAAGUCAAAACCUGUUUGUCUGCUCUUACCAGAAGAGGAGGAUCAAUUGCGAAGUCUGCACAAGAGUUGAAUCUAGCACUUCAGGAAGUUUCAUGACUGAAAGUGAAAGUGCAGUCUGGAGGGAGUUUGUGCAUUUUGGAGUUAUGGACCCCUCUUCUUGCAACACCUGAUGGCUGGCUAUCGACGCAACGCUCUGUGUCUUGUGUGGCCUGGCUCGGGCAUCCCCUGGUUGUACAUUAAUGCUAAGUGGAGUUAUUAACUACAAGCUUAUUCUAAACUAUUCAGUAAAACAAGAGGCUAGUUGACAUGUCGGUAUACAUCCUGUCUGCACGGUUUUGGGAACUAUCAAUCCAUUUCUGCUCAGCGGAGAAGAGAUACCACUCCGUUUCACACUUAACCGAAUAUGUAGCAUCAAAUUGUAUCCUUUGGUUGCAUCAGUGAUGAUUUAAUUAUUAUUUUUUUAAAUAGAUACGUUCCUAAUGUAAAAGAUUGGUGCUACUGUAACAGGUAUCCUGAAAAAAACUGCAAAUGUGAGUAACGGCUUUAAUGUUAGAUUCUUUCAAGUCCUCUUU